rnacentral:rRNA from 1 species
CAAAUUUGAAAUCUGGCUCCUUGGGGGUCCGAGUUGUAAUUUGUAGAGGAUGCUUCGGGUGCGGCACCGGUCUAAGUUCCUUGGAACAGGGCGUCAUAGAGGGUGAGGAUCCCGUAUGUGACCGGCGACCAAGCCCAUGUGAAGCUCCUUCGACGAGUCGAGUUGUUUGGGAAUGCAGCUCAAAAUGGGUGGUAAAUUUCAUCUAAAGCUAAAUACCGGCCAGAGACCGAUAGCGCACAAGUAGAGUGAUCGAAAGAUGAAAAGCACUUUGGAAAGAGAGUCAAAAAGUACGUGAAAUUGUUGAAAGGGAAGCGCUUGUAACCAGACCUGCCGCCGGGGGCUCCGCGGGCAUUCUUGCCCGUCUACUCCCCCGCGAUCAGGCCAGCAUCGGUUUUGGCGGCCGGAUAAAGACUCGAGGAAUGUAGCUUCGCUUCGGGGAAGUGUUAUAGCCUCUUGUGCAAUACGGCCAGCCGGGACCGAGGACCGCGCUUCGGCUAGGAUGCUGGCGUAAUGGUUGCAAGCGACCCGUCUUGAAACACGGACCAAGGAGUCUAACAUCUAUGCGAGUGUUUGGGUGUCAAACCCAUGCGCGGAAUGAAAGUGAACGGAGGUGGGAACCCUUAAGGGCGCACCAUCGACCGAUCCGGAAGUUUACGGAUGGAUUUGAGUAUGAGCAUAGCUGUUGGGACCCGAAAGAUGGUGAACUAUGCCUGAAUAGGGUGAAGCCAGAGGAAACUCUGGUGGAGGCUCGCAGCGGUUCUGACGUGCAAAUCGAUCGUCAAAUUUGGGUAUAGGGGCGAAAGACUAAUCGAACCAUCUAGUAGCUGGUUCCUGCCGAAGUUUCGUAAGUUUUUACUCUCUUUUUGCCCUGCUUCUAAAGUGAAACAUGCUAACAGUUUCAAUAGCCUCAGGAUAGCAGUAACGUUUUCAGUUUUAUGAGGUAAAGCGAAUGAUUAGAGGUCUGGGGGAUGAAACAUCCUUGUGAGUAUUAUCCUUUCCCCUAUAUCUCCCCCGGGACAGCACGCUGACUUAGAAACCUAGCACCUAUUCUCAAACUUUCAAUAUGUAAGAAGUCCUUGUUACUUAGUUGAACGUGGACAUUUGAAUGCACCGUUACUAGUGGGCCAUUUUUGGUAAGCAGAACUGGCGAUGCGGGAUGAACCGAACGUGGGGUUAAGGUGCCGGAAUGUACGCUCAUCAGACACCAAGGGGACAACUUGUGGUGUCUUGCCGGGGGAUAGACCCCCGGCAUCAGUCUGCGAAAGGCGAGGUCUUUGACCUGUAGGGGUCGGCGGUCGCUCCGGCGAUGGCCUACCCUCUGCUGUCCCAUGGCUGGGGCAGCUCACAGAUCAAGCAAAGGCCGGCGGCAGUAGUACGCCGUUGGAGAUAUGAUCGGCCCCCGAAGG